rnacentral:lncRNA from 1 species
GCCCCUCCCUGCUGAGGUCUGGUGAGGACCCAGAGGCCAAAAUGGAGCCUGAUUAAUAGGCAUCCCAAGCAGUGACUCAAACUAUGGGCAAUUUCAGAGGAAGCUCAUUAUAGUGACCCCACAAUUAGGACCUCAGCCCACGUGGUCAGUCAGUCCUGUGGGAGGCUGAACCAAGCACUAUAUAAAAGUCCCUACCUGGCUGGGCUCCACAGUCCACAUCAUUGUUGAGUCUUACUGAAGAUCAGGUUCUGCAAAUCACCCUAGGAUGUCUUUUAAUGAGCAGCAGUGCAAGCAGCCAUGCACGCCUCCUCCGUGUCUUCAGAAGAUCCAAGAGCAGUGCCAGGCAAAGACUGAGGAGGUGUGCCUCCCCCCACGCCAAGACCCCUGCCAAGAAAAGUGCCCAGUGCAAUCUCAGCAGGCGUGUCUUCCUCAGUGCCAGGAGUUAAACCAAGAAAACUGCCCACAGCAAGGCCAAGAUCCAUGCCUACCUCCAUGCCAAGACCAAUGCCCACCUCAGUGUGUGGAGCCAUGCCAGGAGCUAUCUCAGACAAAAUGUGUGGAGGUUUGCCCACAGAAAGUCCAGGAGAAGUGCUUACCCCCUGGCAAGGGAAAGUAGCUGCUUAUAAUGCCAUCUGGGGUCAAGAAGAUGGCCAAGAGAUGAAAACCCAUCCCCAGCCCAUGCAAUGGUGACCUUCUCCUGUGGGUACCUCUGUGUGCACCCUGUUCUUGCCUCCAGACUUCCUCAGUGUUUCAGGACUUGCUCUGUGUCUCUGAAGACAGUUCUUUCUGUAUUUCAUGGACCUCUGUGAAUAAGUAUUGUUCUCAGCAGUCUAGUAGAAAGUCUCAACUGUAGGAAGAUUAUGGUUGUCAGAGGAGACCACAGAAGCCUAGUUCAGCUCCCUUGGGGCAAAAAUUCACCCAUCCCUGGGUGUGUAACAGCCAAGGAUGCCUCCAUUCAUCUUUCAGAGAGUCAGCCUCUCAAUCGAGCCUCAAAACAAACUGAAUUUCAAUGGACUUUGCACUGAUCACUGACUCCCACCAUGGGUGUGGGGAAGAGGUGGGUGGUGUUGCAAAAAUCAAAAAUUGGGUAAUUUUGUCUCUGCUUCCUAAAAAAGAACAGCAAAUGAUUGGAUGGGUUGUGCUUUAAAAAAAAAAAAUGAAACAAAUUAUGUAAAUGAUUGAAUCCCAACAGUCAAUCAGGAAGGAUGAGAUGGAAUGUUUGGGGUCCUGGUUGGUCUUUGUGCUUCACAGCUGGUUUGCUUUGGACCCUUCAUUUCUGCCGUGUACAUUCUUUAGAGAUGCGAUUUGUGUAUGUGUGGUGCAGGCUGGUCUGCUCUCCAGCUUCCUUGCCUUCUUCUCCCUGGUGAAGGUAAAAUACAGAAUAAAGCUGAUCCUAAAGCUGAUGUCUGACUUGACGUGUGCUCUUUCCUCUCCGGUACCCAAUUAUCUGCUAUCCUUGUCACGAUUAUGUUUUCCUUUUUUUUUUUUUUUUUGGAGAAUCCAGAGUAGGAAUAAAAAAUAUACUUCACAGAUGCAUAAAA